AGGGCACCACCAGGAGUGGAGCCUGCGGCUUAAUUUGACUCAACACGGGGAAACUCACCCGGUCCGGACACUGUAAGGAUUGACAGAUUGAUAGCUCUUUCUUGAUUCGGUGGGUGGUGGUGCAUGGCCGUUCUUAGUUGGUGGAGCGAUUUGUCUGGUUAAUUCCGAUAACGAACGAGACUCUAGCCUACUAAAUAGUUCGCCGAUCCUUUAUGCGUCGGCGUCAACUUCUUAGAGGGACAAGGUGGCGUUUAGCCAACGAGAUUGAGCAAUAACAGGUCUGUGAUGCCCUUAGAUGUCCGGGGCCGCACGCGCGCUACACUGAAGGAAUCAGCGUGGCUAUCUCCCUGGUCCGAGAGGAUUGGGAAACCCGUUGAAUCUCCUUCGUGAUAGGGAUUGGGGCUUGAAAUUCUUCCCCAUGAACGAGGAAUUCCCAGUAAGCGCGAGUCAUCAGCUCGCGUUGAUUACGUCCCUGCCCUUUGUACACACCGCCCGUCGCUACUACCGAUUGAACGGUUU
rnacentral:rRNA from 1 species